AGAUUGAACGCUGGCGGCAGGCCUAACACAUGCAAGUCGAGCGGUAGCACAGAGAGCUUGCUCUCGGGUGACGAGCGGCGGACGGGUGAGUAAUGUCUGGGAAACUGCCUGAUGGAGGGGGAUAACUACUGGAAACGGUAGCUAAUACCGCAUAACGUCGCAAGACCAAAGAGGGGGACCUUCGGGCCUCUUGCCAUCAGAUGUGCCCAGAUGGGAUUAGCUAGUAGGUGGGGUAAUGGCUCACCUAGGCGACGAUCCCUAGCUGGUCUGAGAGGAUGACCAGCCACACUGGAACUGAGACACGGUCCAGACUCCUACGGGAGGCAGCAGUGGGGAAUAUUGCACAAUGGGCGCAAGCCUGAUGCAGCCAUGCCGCGUGUAUGAAGAAGGCCUUCGGGUUGUAAAGUACUUUCAGCGAGGAGGAAGGCAUUGUGGUUAAUAACCACAGUGAUUGACGUUACUCGCAGAAGAAGCACCGGCUAACUCCGUGCCAGCAGCCGCGGUAAUACGGAGGGUGCAAGCGUUAAUCGGAAUUACUGGGCGUAAAGCGCACGCAGGCGGUCUGUCAAGUCGGAUGUGAAAUCCCCGGGCUCAACCUGGGAACUGCAUUCGAAACUGGCAGGCUAGAGUCUUGUAGAGGGGGGUAGAAUUCCAGGUGUAGCGGUGAAAUGCGUAGAGAUCUGGAGGAAUACCGGUGGCGAAGGCGGCCCCCUGGACAAAGACUGACGCUCAGGUGCGAAAGCGUGGGGAGCAAACAGGAUUAGAUACCCUGGUAGUCCACGCCGUAAACGAUGUCGACUUGGAGGUUGUUCCCUUGAGGAGUGGCUUCCGGAGCUAACGCGUUAAGUCGACCGCCUGGGGAGUACGGCCGCAAGGUUAAAACUCAAAUGAAUUGACGGGGGCCCGCACAAGCGGUGGAGCAUGUGGUUUAAUUCGAUGCAACGCGAAGAACCUUACCUACUCUUGACAUCCAGAGAACUUAGCAGAGAUGCUUUGGUGCCUUCGGGAACUCUGAGACAGGUGCUGCAUGGCUGUCGUCAGCUCGUGUUGUGAAAUGUUGGGUUAAGUCCCGCAACGAGCGCAACCCUUAUCCUUUGUUGCCAGCGGUUCGGCCGGGAACUCAAAGGAGACUGCCAGUGAUAAACUGGAGGAAGGUGGGGAUGACGUCAAGUCAUCAUGGGCCCUUACGAGUAGGGCUACACACGUGCUACAAUGGCGCAUACAAAGAGAAGCGACCUCGCGAGAGCAAGCGGACCUCAUAAAGUGCGUCGUAGUCCGGAUUGGAGUCUGCAACUCGACUCCAUGAAGUCGGAAUCGCUAGUAAUCGUAGAUCAGAAUGCUACGGUGAAUACGUUCCCGGGCCUUGUACACACCGCCCGUCACACCAUGGGAGUGGGUUGCAAAGAGAAGUAGGUAGC
rnacentral:rRNA from 1 species